rfam:Papilio machaon contig52993, whole genome shotgun sequence.
AUCGCUUCUCGGCCUUUUGGCUAAGAUCAAAGUGUAGUAUCUGUUCUUUUCAGCUUAAUAUCUGAAAGUUCCCGCACUGC